rnacentral:misc_RNA from 1 species
GAUGAAGAACGUAGCAAAAUGCGAUAAGUAAUGUGAAUUGCAGAAUUCAGUGAAUCAUCGAAUCUUUGAACGCACAUUGCGCCCGCCAGCAUCCUGGCGGGCAUGCCUGUCCGAGCGUCAUUUCAACCCUCAGGGCCCGUCCGCGGGACCUGGCGUUGGGGAUCGGCCGCGCCCACAGAGGCCGGCCGGCCCUGAAAUACAGUGGCGGUCUCGCUGUAGCCCUCCUCCGCGUAGUAGCACAACCUCGCGGCCUGGAGCUCGGCGGUGGCCAUGCCGUAAAACACCCCACUUCUGAAAGUUGACCUCGGAUCAGGUAGGAAUACCCGCUGAACUUAAGCAUAUCAAUAAGCGGAGGA